rnacentral:tRNA from 1 species
GAAGGUAUAGCUCAGUGGUAGAGUGUGUGCUUAGCAUGCACAAGGUCCUGGGUUCAAUCCCCAGUACCUCUA